GACGAACCGAGCGAACGUUAUUCGGAAUCACUGGGCUUAAAGGGCGCGUAGGCGGGUCGGCAAGUCAGGGGUGAAAUCCCCCAGCUUAACUGGGGAAGUGCCUUUGAUACUGCCGAUCUCGAGGGAGGUAGGGGCGUGCGGAACUUCCGGUGGAGCGGUGAAAUGCGUAGAUAUCGGAAGGAACACCGGUGGCGAAAGCGGCGCGCUGGACCUCUUCUGACGCUGAGGCGCGAAAGCCAGGGGAGCAAACGGG
rnacentral:rRNA from 1 species